AAAGACUUGACGGUACUUCACACCAACCUAGAGGAGCCUGUCCAAUAACCGAUACUCCGCGAUUAACCCCACCCACCCUAGCCUUUUAGCAGUCUAUAUACCGCCGUCGCCAGCCCACCUUGUGAAAGAAAUAAAGUGAGCCAAAUAGGCCUAACCCUAACACGACAGGUCAAGGUGUAACUUAUGGGUCGGUAAAAGAUGGGCUACAUUUUCUUAAACAGAACACACGAAUAAACUAUGAAAUUAGAAACUGAAGGUGGAUUUAGCAGUAUGAUAAGAAUAGAACACUUA
rnacentral:rRNA from 1 species